AAAGGUGACAAGAUGACAUUACUUUCACUUCUCAUACUGUAAUUAAAAUCCACUAUUAUUGCAUUCAACUUAAUUCACCCUUUGUAUCAUGCAGUUUUAAGGGUGUUGGGAAACCAACUCAAAUCCAACAUUCUGGACUUUGCUUUAACUUUAAGGAAUUUAAUGUUGCAAUAUGAGACUCUCGCCAUCCUCCUUCCCGCCCUACCUACACACACUGGUCAAAUAUGCAAGCCAGACGAAAGAACGAUAGAUCUCAAAUAGCUAUUCAAUCUUUGUGUUAGGAUGCAGAAAGCUGAGGAAAUGCCUGGAGGUUUUCUAAAUGUCAGCACCAUGAAUCUACUGCUCUUGGUUCCCAUCAGGGAUAGUGGAGGUUCAGAGAGUCCAUGACUCUCAAACCACAUCUGCUUCAGGAUUCACUCACUGGGUCAAAGGAAGCUUGUUGUUGACAUCAGUUAAAGCUCAUUGGUUUGGAUUACAGUUUACUUAUUUUCAAAGAGUUAACUUUUGAAAUAACCCUUUUCCACAUGCACAGAAGUAAUGAAUUAAGCAUGGUGGUAGAUCUGUCUGAAAGAUGUGGACCACUUUUCUAGCAAACAGGUAUCCCAUGAAGUGUUGGGAGUCUGUCCUACUCAUAGUAAAGUGGUCAUGGGUAGUUCCUGUGCUUUGCCUCAUGGGAUCCAACAUUUUCUGCAUUCCUGCCCUAAUCACCCAAAAGCUAAACAUGAGCAAGAAUGCUGCCCAGCGAAUUCUAUUUCUUCUGUUUUGGAGAGUGAUUAACAACUUAAUAACGUCUUUCCUCUUGGCAUGUCUUAAAAUCAUAAUGACAAGUAAGACGAACUAAAGUGACAUGGCUGAGAGACACAUAGUGAGAAGGUAUUGAGCAGUACCAUGAAGAGAAGCCAUCAGGCACCAGAGUCUUGAACAGGAGGAAGCUAUGGGGCAGAGAGGAAACUUGCAAGAAGAAAAUCAGCCCUGGCAAUGGAAGUGAGUAGGGAGAAGCAGAACAGAGAAGCUGGACCACAAGCCUGUGGUUACCAGCCUGGUUGAUUGAUUGGCACCAGAAUGCUGCAGUAUUCUGAUCAACAUUCCGGUUCCUGAGGACUGGCCGUGCAGGGCUGAGGCUGUUUCCUGUGUUUCCUUACUUCUCCAUUAGAUCCUGACAAUAAAGUGCCACCCAUCCCUUGAGGAAACUGCUCUAUGUUCCUUGUCACCUGAAAGAACAUAAUGAAAACAUCCAGCCAUAAGCAGCAUGUAGGAAUUUGUUCACAGAGGAAUUCUCCAGCAUUGAUUGGGACAGGAAAUUUCAAAUGUCAAUAAAACUGACUUUGCUUUGCCAUUAUACAAUUUUUUCUGUGUUGAUUUUUUUUUUUUUUUGUAAUUAUGAAAGUAAAAUUACAUCAGGCUGGGCUGGGUGGCUCACGCCUAUAAUCGCAGCACUUUGGGAGGUCGAGGUGGUGGAUCACUUGAGGUCAGGAGUUUGAGACCAGCCUAGCCAACAUGGAGAAACCCGUUCUCUACUAAAAAACAAACAAACAAACAAACAAAAAUUAGCUGGGUAUGCUGGUGCAUACCUGUAGUCCCAGCUACUAGAGAGGCUGAGGUGGAAGAAUUGCUUGAAUCUGGGAGGGAGAGGUUGCAGUGCGCUGAGAUCACACCACUGCACUCCAGCCUUGGCAGCAGAGCAAGAUGCUGUUUCAAAAAAAGAAAGAAAGAAAGUAAAGUUACAUUCAAUGCAAAAGACUUGGAAAUUAAAGAAAAAACUUGAAGGGGCCAGGCAUGGUGGCUCACACCUGUAAUCCCAAUACUUUGGGAGGCCGA
rnacentral:lncRNA from 1 species